rnacentral:rRNA from 1 species
GAUGAACGCUGGCGGCGUGCUUAACACAUGCAAGUCGAACGAUGAAGCCCAGCUUGCUGGGUGGAUUAGUGGCGAACGGGUGAGUAACACGUGAGCAACCUGCCCCUGACUCUGGGAUAAGCGCUGGAAACGGCGUCUAAUACUGGAUAUGUCCCGUCACCGCAUGGUGUGCGGGUGGAAAGAUUUUUCGGUUGGGGAUGGGCUCGCGGCCUAUCAGCUUGUUGGUGAGGUAAUGGCUCACCAAGGCGUCGACGGGUAGCCGGCCUGAGAGGGUGACCGGCCACACUGGGACUGAGACACGGCCCAGACCCCUACGGGAGGCAGCAGUGGGGAAUAUUGCACAAUGGGCGGAAGCCUGAUGCAGCAACGCCGCGUGAGGGAUGACGGCCUUCGGGUUGCAAACCUCUUUUAGCAGGGAAGAAGCGAAAGUGACGGUACCUGCAGAAAAAGCACCGGCUAACUACGUG